CAAUAGCGUAUACUAAUGUUGUUGCAGUUAAAAAGCUCGUAGUUGAACUUCUGGUAGGAGUGUCCCGGCCUUUUUGUUUUUACAAAUUGUAUGCUGUGUGACAUCUCUGGCCAUCCUUCUUCUUUGUUUAAAGAAGAUCUUUCACUGUAAAAAAAUUAGGGUGUUCAAAGCAAAAGUUUCUUUGGAAUAUAUUAGUAUGGGAUGAUAAGAUAGGCUCUAGAUGCUAUUUUGUUGGUUUGCACAUUUAGAGAAUGAUUAACAGGGACAGUUGAGGGUAUUCGUAUUUACAUGUCAGAGGUGAAAUUCUUGGAUUUUGGAAAGACGAACUACUGCGAAAGCAUUUACCAAGGAUGUUUUCAUUAA
rnacentral:rRNA from 1 species